rnacentral:rRNA from 1 species
CGGCCCUGUCCUUCUAAUGUUGCGACCCCAGGUCAGGCGGGACUACCCGCUGAGUUUAAGCAUAUCAAUAAGGCGGAGGAUGUGAAACCUGCCCGCAGAAGACCGGCGAACGUGUUUGCUAUCGGAGGAAGGGGUGGGCCGUCCGGCUCUCUCCGGACUCCUCGUGUCGGUCGCCGCUUCUGAGGAACGGUGCCUCGACGCGCUAACAAACCCGGCGUUGUAAUGCGCUAGGUAGGAAUGAUACUAUCUGUUCGUUUUCGCCCGCAUCGCCGGGAGGUGCCGCACCCCAUCGGUUACCACGACUCUGGCAACGGAUAUCUCUGCUCUCUGUCAUUCUAG